rnacentral:rRNA from 1 species
AACGAACGCUGGCGGCAGGCUUAACACAUGCAAGUCGAACGCCCCGCAAGGGGAGUGGCAGACGGGUGAGUAACGCGUGGGAAUCUACCGUACCCUACGGAACAACAGUUGGAAACGACUGCUAAUACCGUAUACGCCCUACGGGGGAAAGAUUUAUCGGGGUAUGAUGAGCCCGCGUUGGAUUAGCUAGUUGGUGGGGUAAGGGCCUACCAAGGCGACGAUCCAUAGCUGGUCUGAGAGGAUGAUCAGCCACAUUGGGACUGAGACACGGCCCAAACUCCUACGGGAGGCAGCAGUGGGGAAUAUUGGACAAUGGGCGCAAGCCUGAUCCAGCCAUGCCGCGUGAGUGAUGAAGGUCUUAGGAUUGUAAAGCUCUUUCACCGAUGAAGAUAAUGACGGUAGUCGGGGAAGAAGCCCUGGCUAACUUCGUGCCAGCCGCCGCAGUAA